AGUCUGNAACCCGACUACAUGAAGCCGGAAUCGCUAGUAAUCGCGGAUCAGAAUGCCGCGGUGAAUACGUUCCCGGGUCUUGUACACACCGCCCGUCACACCAUGGGAGUUGGAAAUGCCCGAAGUCAGUGGCCCAACCGGAAGGGGGGAGCUGCCGAAGGCAGGUUCGAUGACUGGGGUGAAGUCGUAACAAGGUAGC
rnacentral:rRNA from 1 species